rnacentral:rRNA from 1 species
AGCGAACGCUGGCGGCAGGCCUAACACAUGCAAGUCGAACGAAGUCUUCGGACUUAGUGGCGGACGGGUGAGUAACACGUGGGAACGUGCCUUUAGGUUCGGAAUAACUCAGGGAAACUCGUGCUAAUACCGAAUGUGCCCUUCGGGGGAAAGAUUUAUCGCCUUUAGAGCGGCCCGCGUCUGAUUAGCUAGUUGGUGAGGUAAAGGCUCACCAAGGCUACGAUCAGUAGCUGGUCUGAGAGGAUGACCAGCCACAUUGGGACUGAGACACGGCCCGAACUCUUACGGGAGGCAGCAGUGGGGAAUCUUGCGCAAUGGGCGAAAGCCUGACGCAGCCAUGCCGCGUGGAUGAUGAAGGUCUUAGGAUUGUAAAAUCCUUUCACCGGUGAAGAUAAUGACUGUAGCCGGAGAAGAAGCCCCGGCUAACUUCGUGCCAGCCGCCGCGGUAAAAC